UCUCCGUAGGUGAACCUGCGGAGGGAUCAUUACAGAGUUCAUGCCCUACCGGGUAGAUCUCCCACCCUAUGUUAUUAUUACUUUGUUGCUUUGGCGGGCCGUUAGGCUCCGGCCCGACUACCGGCCCCGGCUGGUAAGCGCCCGCCAGAGGACCCAAAACCCUGAAUAUUAGUGUCGUCUGAGUACUAUAUGAUAGUUAAAACUUUCAACAACGGAUCUCUUGGUCCUG
rnacentral:misc_RNA from 1 species